rnacentral:rRNA from 1 species
GACGAACGCUGGCGGCGUGCUUAACACAUGCAAGUCGAACGGAAAGGCCCUGCUUUUGUGGGGUGCUCGAGUGGCGAACGGGUGAGUAACACGUGAGUAACCUGCCCUUGACUUGGGGAUACCUUCGGGAAACUGGGGCUAAUACCGAAUAGAGGUCCCUGCUGCAGGGGGGGGGUGGGAAGUUUGCGGCGGUUGGGGAUGGACUCGCGGCUUAUCAGCUUGUUGGUGGGGUAGUGGCUUACCAAGGCUUUGACGGGUAGCCGGCCUGAGAGGGUGACCGGCCACAUUGGGACUGAGAUACGGCCCAGACUCCUACGGGAGGCAGCAGUGGGAAUAUUGCACAAUGGGCGGAAGCCUGAUGCAGCAACGCCGCGUGCGGGAUGACGGCCUUCGGGUUGUAAACCGCUUUCGCCUGUGACGAAGCGUGAGUGACGGUAAUGGGUAAAGAAGCACCGGCUAACUACGUG